rnacentral:rRNA from 1 species
GAUGAACGCUGGCGGCGUGCCUAAUACAUGCAAGUCGAGCGAACGGACGAGAAGCUUGCUUCUCUGAUGUUAGCGGCGGACGGGUGAGUAACACGUGGAUAACCUACCUAUAAGACUGGGAUAACUUCGGGAAACCGGAGCUAAUACCGGAUAAUAUUUUGAACCGCAUGGUUCAAAAUUGAAAGACGGUCUUGCUGUCACUUAUAGAUGGAUCCGCGCUGCAUUAGCUAGUUGGUAAGGUAACGGCUUACCAAGGCAACGAUGCAUAGCCGACCUGAGAGGGUGAUCGGCCACACUGGAACUGAGACACGGUCCAGACUCCUACGGGAGGCAGCAGUAGGGAAUCUUCCGCAAUGGGCGAAAGCCUGACGGAGCAACGCCGCGUGAGUGAUGAAGGUCUUCGGAUCGUAAAACUCUGUUAUUAGGGAAGAACAUAUGUGUAAGUAACUGUGCACAUCUUGACGGUACCUAAUCAGAAAGCCACGGCUAACUACGUA